rnacentral:rRNA from 1 species
CCUACGGGAGGCAGCAGUGGGGAAUUUUGGACAAUGGGCGCAAGCCUGAUCCAGCCAUGCCGCGUGCGGGAAGAAGGCCUUCGGGUUGUAAACCGCUUUCGGCCGGAACGAAAUCGCCCGGGUGAACAUCCCGGGUGGAUGACGGUACCGGAAGAAGAAGCACCGGCUAGCUACGUGCCAGCAGCCGCGGUAAUACGUAGGGUGCGAGCGUUAAUCGGAAUUACUGGGCGUAAAGCGUGCGCAGGCGGUCUCGUAAGACAGGUGUGAAAUCCCCGGGCUCAACCUGGGUACUGCGCUUGUGACUGCGAGGCUGGAGUGUGGCAGAGGGAGGUGGAAUUCCACGUGUAGCAGUGAAAUGCGUAGAGAUGUGGAGGGACACCGAUGGCGAAGGCAGCCUCCUGGGCCAGCACUGACGCUCAUGCACGAAAGCGUGGGGAGCAAACAGGAUUAGAUACCCUGGUAGUCCACGCCCUAAACGAUGACGACUAGUUGUUGGGGUAGAAGUACCUUAGUAACGCAGCUAACGCGUGAAGUCGUCCGCCUGGGGAGUACGGUCGCAAGAUUAAAACUCAAAGGAAUUGACGG